rnacentral:rRNA from 1 species
UCCUCCCUCUGGCUUCGUGCUUAACACAUGCAAGUCGAACGGAAAGGCCCUGCUUUUGUGGGGUGCUCGAGUGGCGAACGGGUGAGUAACACGUGAGUAACCUGCCCUUGACUUUGGGAUAACUUCAGGAAACUGGGGCUAAUACCGGAUAGGAGCUCCUGCUGCAUGGUGGGGGUUGGAAAGUUUCGGCGGUUGGGGAUGGACUCGCGGCUUAUCAGCUUGUUGGUGGGGUAGUGGCUUACCAAGGCUUUGACGGGUAGCCGGCCUGAGAGGGUGACCGGCCACAUUGGGACUGAGAUACGGCCCAGACUCCUACGGGAGGCAGCAGUGGGGAAUAUUGCACAAUGGGCGGAAGCCUGAUGCAGCAACGCCGCGUGCGGGAUGACGGCCUUCGGGUUGUAAACCGCUUUCGCCUGUGACGAAGCGUGAGUGACGGUAAUGGGUAAAGAAGCACCGGCUAACUACGUG